GACGAACGCUGGCGGCGUGCCUAAUACAUGCAAGUCGAACGCUGAAGAGAGGAGCUUGCUCUGAUUGGAUGAGUUGCGAACGGGUGAGUCACGGGUAGGUACCCUGCAUUGUAGCGGGGGAUCAGUAUUGGAACCGUAAGCCAAUACAGCAUAACAAUGGAUGACACAUGGCACUUAUUUGAAAGGGGCAAUUGCUCAACUUCAAGCUGGACCUGCGUUGUAUUAGGUAGUAGGUGAGGUAAGGGCUCACCUCGGAGUGGAUACAUAGGAGAACUGAUCGGGUGGUCGACCACACUGGGACUGGGACACGGCCCAGACUCCUACGGGAGGCAGCAGGAGGGAAUCUUCGGCAAUGGGGGCAACCCUGACCGAACAACGCCGCGGGAGGUAAGAAGGUUUUCGGGUCGUAAAGCUCUGUUGUAAUGCGAGAACGGGUGGUAGGGUGGAAAGUUCACGCUGUGACGGUAGCUUACCAGAAAGGGACGGCUAACUACGUG
rnacentral:rRNA from 1 species